rfam:Ciona savignyi cont_16996, whole genome shotgun sequence.
ACGAUAAUUCUUUAAGGAAUCAUUUCUGUGGUGUGCAUCUUAAAAACGCCAUUAUAAUUUGAUGAAUCCUUAACUACGAUGAUAAGUUGCAGUGAUUCCUUCCGAGCAUGACGCAUGGUUCGUUAAUCCUUCGGAUGUUGCGAAUUAUUGAGGAUUGUACUUGGAUUUCCAUUCGCUAUUCUAGGAGAAAAGAAAGAGAAACAAUUUUAAUA